GUACUCUUGUUUCUCUUCAGGUCAUAUAACUCUUUUGCCUUUUACUAAAGAUUUCCACGGAGAGGAACAUUUACGAGUUUUUAAUGAUUUUUAAAAUGGUUCCCAGGGUGACGU
rnacentral:snRNA from 1 species